GAUGAACGCUGGCGGCGUGCCUAAUACAUGCAAGUCGAGCGAACAGAUGAGGAGCUUGCUCCUCUGACGUUAGCGGCGGACGGGUGAGUCACACGUGGAUAACCUACCUAUAAGACUGGGAUAACUUCGGGAAACCGGAGCUAAUACCGGAUAAUAUAUUGAACCGCAUGGUUCAAUAGUGAAAGACGGUUUUGCUGUCACUUAUAGAUGGAUCCGCGCCGCAUUAGCUAGUUGGUAAGGUAACGGCUUACCAAGGCGACGAUGCGUAGCCGACCUAAGAGGGGGGUCGGCCACACUGGAGCUGAGACACGGUCCAGGCGCCUACGGGAGGCAGCAGAAGGGAAUCUUCCGCAAUGGGCGAAAGCCUGACGGAGCAACGCGGCGUGAGUGAUGAAGGUGUUCGGAUCGUAAAACUGUGUUUUUAGGGAAGAACAAAUGUGUAAGUAACUAUGCACGGCUUGACGGUACCUAAUCAGAAAGCCACGGCUAACUACGUG
rnacentral:rRNA from 1 species